UAGAUGAAGAGAGUAAUGAUUCAUUGCUUGGAACAUUAUCACAAACUUCAUUAA
rnacentral:pre_miRNA from 1 species